rnacentral:lncRNA from 1 species
AGGAACUGAUGCAGCAUCAGCUUGUUUGUCCACAGGCAACGCCUCAAAGACUCAACCAGCGGUUACCACUCCGAUUGAGGAUAAUCCAUACAAGUGUCAGGGUAAUAAGGGGAGAGGAGGAAUAGCUAAAUGGGUUUCUGUUGCGUAAAGAAACAGGUUUCUGAGCAUCAAGAUUGAGAAUGAUUGUUUCAGGGAACAUCUCUUUAUGCCGGCCAUAAAAAUCCCAAAAAUAUAUGAACUCAAGUAACUGCACUUAAUAAACUGUAGGACCAGACAUAAUCAGAUAAAAUUGCAUGACUUAUCAAAGACUUACCAGAGAUGGACAGCAAUGGCUAUGACUUGAGCUAUAUACCAAGAUCUGUGUAGAGAAGAUUUGCAACCUAAAUUAUUGGUUUAUCAAUUUAUCCAGCUGCUACUAUCUUUG